GUGGGUGUGGCUCAGUGGUAGAGCAUUUGCCUAGCAUGCAUGAAGCCCUGGGUUCCAUCCCCAGCACACACA
rfam:Ictidomys tridecemlineatus contig016872, whole genome shotgun sequence.